rnacentral:sRNA from 1 species
CUGGCCAAGAGAUUUCUUUCCAAUAACAAAAAAAAAUUUACCAUACGCUGUAACGAUUAAAACGGCAACACUGUGCAGAAAAAAUACCACUCACAGGCUUACAGGUACCCACCAUAUAGUCCUGCGAGGAUAUGUCCAGGUCUGUGAAAAAUGACAGCUUCAGAUGUCACAGAAGCAGUACAUCUGGAAUCUAAUGGAAUAGGAUGUGGUUGAUAUACACAGCUUCAGAUGUCACAGAAGCAGUACAUCUGGAAUCUAAUGGAAUAGGAUGUGGUUGAUAUACAUAAAUGGUUUUGCGUCGCUCCGUUGAGGUGAACUGUCGUCAAUAUUUUCUGUCGAAGCGUAGAUACCAAACGCAUGAAUGUGGGGGAGGCGAGCGUGGGAGAGCGAACGCCAGAUUCAACAAGGCCUGAUGCAAUCGCAUGUCAAGUUCCAUUAUCUGCAUCUGUAUCUGUCCCUGCUGUGUGCCUGCACUCAAACAGAAACCUAUUUACACUUGUUGUCGUAUGCAUUAAUUGGUCAUAGCAGCGGCAAAUAAAGUAAAAAAAGAUGGAGAACGGCCAGCGUGUGGGACGGUGGUGCGUCAAUCCAUCGUGUGCAAUGUGGGGGAGGCUGCGCUGCGAAGGGUUAUCCGUCGAGAUGGUUAUUUAUAGCUCUCUAAUUGAGUGAAAGACAGUUGAAAAGUGUUGACACCAUGCCCUACGCUAUGCCUUCCGAUACACAGCUCCAAAGUGCCCAUGAACUGUUGCCAAAACUGUCCAAAACUUUCCCAGCAGUGAAAGAGGGAAUGUUGGACUUGAAGACAGCAGAGAAUUAAGCAUUUAAGAGACCCCCCUCCCCCCAUUUUGAUGGUAUUUUGCAUCCAAUUCCAGUUCACUAAUUAAAUAUUUCAUUUAUAAUUGGCCAAAGACAGCAAGAA